rnacentral:rRNA from 1 species
AGAGCUUGCUCUCAGGUGACAAGCGGCGGACGGGUGAGUAACGCGUAGGAAUCUACCUAGUAGUGGGGGACAACAGUUGGAAACGACUGCUAAUACCGCAUACGCCCUAAGGGGGAAAGCGGGGGAUCUUCGGACCUCGUGCUAUUAGAUGAGCCUGCGUGAGAUUAGCUAGUUGGUGGGGUAAAGGCUCACCAAGGCGACGAUCUCUAGCUGGUCUGAGAGGAUGAUCAGCCACACUGGGACUGAGACACGGCCCAGACUCC